rnacentral:misc_RNA from 1 species
AAUUGAUUGAUACUAUUAUAUACACUACAAUACAACAACAAAUAAGUUAAAAUGGUGAACCAACCCCCUAAGAAAUAAGACUGAACCAAAAAGUAACACAACAAAAAGGCUCAGGAAUUUGUGGAAUGACGUCAGAAUGGAAGUGAAGGGUUUUGGCUCUCUCCCCUCCAAUAAUUUGACUAGCAUUCCGCACCACAAUUAUCAAAAAAAGGUAGACAGAGAUUUGCUAAGACAGAUUGACUAACGAAUUUCUAAAUUUGGGAAGAUGGAGAGAGGCCCCCUUCUGACCUCCGAGCAGCCUGACCUGUAACCGAUGACUUGUCUGAACCACGAACAUUAUAUCUCUCGUAAACUUUGUCACGAUUCUCUGACCACCAAGUCUCCGCUUGGUGCUCCCCGAAUCUUCUGCGGCUGAAGCGAACUCGUUUGAGAUCUCUAGUGCCAUCUCGAAGAGCCAUUAGGGUAAUAUAAACUCCAGGCUCGUAUUGUUCAAUCCAUUCAGCCUCAAUUUGGUUAGGGUUACCAGAAGGCAGAGAAUUUCUUGAUUUCAAUCCGUUCCCAUUGUCUUGUAAGGAUUCAGCGUCUUCAUUAUCGACAGCUUGAGAUGCACUAUUGAUGUUCACCUGUGCCUCGCUACCAUUAGGCAGUCUAACUUCACCUCGGUCAUCUGUACCAUUGGAGGUCAGGAUUUGAUUGUUUGAAAUAGCUUCAAUGCUACCAGAAUCCCUUUGGUAUCUGGUAGGGCUAUGCAUUCCAUAUGUACUAAAAUCCAUGCUGGUUUGAGAGGCCAUGUAAGAGCUAGUGACAGAAUCAGAUCUCGAAUGGCGUUCCCCAUUAGCGUUGGGAUAGUGAAUGCCAUUUGAG